rnacentral:rRNA from 1 species
GACGAACGCUGGCGGCGUGCUUAACACAUGCAAGUCGAACGGAAAGGCCCUGCUUUUGUGGGGUGCUCGAGUGGCGAACGGGUGAGUAACACGUGAGUAACCUGCCCUUGACUUUGGGAUAACUUCAGGAAACUGGGGCUAAUACCGGAUAGGAGCUCCUGCUGCAUGGUGGGGGUUGGAAAGUUUCGGCGGUUGGGGAUGGACUCGCGGCUUAUCAGCUUGUUGGUGGGGUAGUGGCUUACCAAGGCUUUGACGGGUAGCCGGCCUGAGAGGGUGACCGGCCACAUUGGGACUGAGAUACGGCCAAGACUCGUAAGGGAGGAAGAAGUGGGGAAUAUUGCACAAUGGGCGGAAGCCUGAUGCAGCAACGCCGCGUGCGGGAUGACGGCCUUCGGGUUGUAAACCGCUUUCGCCUGUGACGAAGCGUGAGGGACGGUAAUGGGUAAAGAAGCACCGGCUAACUACGU